GCGGGAGAGGUGUUCCUGGCGCUUGGCUCCAACGUCUGCAGAGAGGCCUGUGGCAUUAGAAAGAGCCAGGGACUCCAUGGAGCCACGGGGAGUCUGCUCGGUGGGCGUCAGGUCCUCUGUGAACUUCAGGGCGUUGAUGGGGUGCCGGGUGCGGCACUGCGGGGUGGGCAUCCCGCCUUCCUCUUCCUCUUCGUAUUUGGGGACUUUGAGGCUUCCCCGGGUCUCGGGGAAGCUCUGGUUGGACAUGUCGCUGUAGCUCUCCUGAGAGCGAAGCCUCCCCGAGUAGUAGUCCUCUCUGCAGUCCUGGAUGAAGCUGCCUCCGUGCCC
rnacentral:lncRNA from 1 species